AGCGGAGGAAAAGAAACUAACAAGGAUUCCCCUAGUAACUGCGAGUGAAGCGGGAAAAGCUCAAAUUUAAAAUCUGGUGGUCUUCUGGCCAUCCGAGUUGUAAUCUAGAGAAGUGUUAUCCGUGCUGGACCGUGUACAAGUCCCCUGGAAUGGGGCGUCAUAGAGGGUGAGAAUCCCGUCUUUGACACGGACUACCAGGGCUUUGUGAUGCACUCUCAACGAGUCGAGUUGUUUGGGAAUGCAGCUCAAAAUGGGUGGUAAAUUCCAUCUAAAGCUAAAUAUUGGCGAGAGACCGAUAGCGAACAAGUACCGUGAGGGAAAGAUGAAAAGAACUUUGGAAAGAGAGUUAAACAGUACGUGAAAUUGUUGAAAGGGAAACGCUUGAAGUCAGUCGCGUCGGCCGGGGAUCAACCUUGCUUUUGUGAGGCGUACUUCCUGGUUGACGGGUCAGCAUCAGUUUUGGCUGCUGGACAAAGGUCAGGGAAAUGUGGCACCUUCGGGUGUGUUAUAGUCUCUGAUCAUAUACAGUGGCUGGGACUGAGGAACUCAGCACGCCGAAAGGCCGGGGUUCGCCCACGUUCGUGCUUAGGAUGCUGGCAAAAUGGCUUUAAUCGACCCGUCUUGAAACACGGACAAAAGGGAG
rnacentral:rRNA from 1 species